AGAGUUUGAUCCUGGCUCAGAUUGAACGCUGGCGGCAUGCCUUACACAUGCAAGUCGAACGGCAGCACGGGAGCAAUCCUGGUGGCGAGUGGCGAACGGGUGAGUAAAGUAUCGGAACGUGCCCAGUCGUGGGGGAUAACGUAGCGAAAGUUACGCUAAUACCGCAUACGAUCUAUGGAUGAAAGCGGGGGAUCGCAAGACCUCGCGCGAUUGGAGCGGCCGAUAUCAGAUUAGGUAGUUGGUGGGGUAAAGGCUCACCAAGCCGACGAUCUGUAGCUGGUCUGAGAGGACGACCAGCCACACUGGGACUGAGACACGGCCCAGACUCCUACGGGAGGCAGCAGUGGGGAAUUUUGGACAAUGGGCGAAAGCCUGAUCCAGCCAUGCCGCGUGCAGGAUGAAGGCCUUCGGG
rnacentral:rRNA from 1 species